rnacentral:misc_RNA from 1 species
UUAACUAUUAUAUAGUACUCAGACGGCAUGUACAGACAGAGUUUAGGUCCCCUGGCAGGCGCGGGCCGGCCGGAGCCGGCGGUCCGAGGACGGGCCUGCCAAAGCAACAAAGGUGUGAUAAACAAAGGGUGGAAGUUGUACCCCGCCGGGAUGCGGCGGGGUCACUCCUAUUUAAUGAUCCUUCCGCAGGUUCACCUACGGAAA